UGUCAACGUAGUGAGGCUGCUAUUGACCUCCUGACCGUAUGUCAGAAGAAGGAUCACCAGCUUCUAGACGCAACUGAGAAUGACCUGGGGUACUAAAAACCACAGGGAGCAAAACUAGAGAAUGAUGGCGGCCAGAUCGACAGCUGUUGUAUUGCGGAUUUGGUGUACAGAUGGAAUAUCACCAUCCAAAAGGAAAAACCGUUAAAUGUAGUAAGAUUCCCCCCACGAACAAACAAUACCAGUGAGUCCCACAGUUACCAGCAGCCCACUGUGGACACCAAACCUCCACUCAGCUUUUACCUAGCCGUCUCUUAAUAGAGGAGCAGGCUGAUAAAGACUGCCAUAUACUGGGGCGCCUGGGUGGCUCAGUGGGUUAAGCCACUGCCUUCGGCUCAGGUCAUGAUCUCAG
rnacentral:lncRNA from 1 species